rnacentral:lncRNA from 1 species
CGAUUUUGAGAGAGAGAGGGUUGGUUGCGUUUGAGAGACUUUGAGAGUAAAGGUUGAGGGAUAGCGUUUGAGAGAGAGAGAGAGAGAAAUUUUGAGGUUUGAGCGAUGAGGAAGGAGGGUCGUAGCUCGUAAGGUGAGAGAGAGUGAGGGAGACGAUAGCAGUAGGGAAGAGCUUCUGCUGUUUCCAUUUUCUUUUUUUCCCUUUUUUAAUUUUUCUUUUAUUUUAUUUAUUUCAUUUUUAACACAAAAUCAGAAAAAUAUAUGUUUUUAUUUUCUUUUAUUAUUAUUUACUUUUUAUUUAUUUAGCUUAUUUUGUUUUUUAAAAGAGAUAAUAAAAAAACCCAUAAAAAUGUUUUUUUUUAUUUAUUUUAAAUCUGUUAGCCCAGUUCAUAUAUUUAUGGUAGUAUCUCAGUAGCAAAUAUUGUUGAGUGUCCUAGUGGAGAGAUGGCAGUUGCAUAAUAUUAGGUGGGGAGGGUUCAAUACUCAUGUGUGACACUUUUUGCUUUUUGUUU